UGAGGAAUAUUGGUCAAUGGGCGCAAGCCUGAACCAGCCAUCCCGCGUGCAGGAAGACGGCCCUAUGGGUUGUAAACUGCUUUUCCAGGGGGAGAAACUUGCGCACGUGUUGCGCAAUUGACGGUACCCUGGGAAUAAGCAUCGGCUAACUCCGUNGCCAGCAGCCGCGGUAAUACGGAGGAUGCGAGCGUUAUCCGGAUUCAUUGGGUUUAAAGGGUGCGUAGGCGGACUAUUAAGUCAGUGGUGAAAUCCUGCAGCUUAACUGCAGAACUGCCAUUGAUACUGAUAGCCUUGAGUUUGGUUAAGGUAGGUCGGAAUGUGUAAUGUAGCGGUGAAAUGCUUAGAUAUUACACAGAACACCAAUUGCGUAGGCAGCUUACUGAGCCGACACUGACGCUG
rnacentral:rRNA from 1 species